UGGAGAGUUUGAUCCUGGCUCAGAUUGAACGCUGGCGGCAGGCUUAACACAUGCAAGUCGAGCGGUAACAGGGGAAGCUUGCUUCCCGCUGACGAGCGGCGGACGGGUGAGUAAUGCUUAGGAAUCUGCCCAGUAGUGGGGGAUAGCCCGGGGAAACCCGGAUUAAUACCGCAUACGUCCUACGGGAGAAAGCAGGGGAUCUUCGGACCUUGCGCUAUUGGAUGAGCCUAAGUCGGAUUAGCUAGUUGGUGGGGUAAAGGCCUACCAAGGCGACGAUCCGUAGCUGGUCUGAGAGGAUGAUCAGCCACAUCGGGACUGAGACACGGCCCGAACUCCUACGGGAGGCAGCAGUGGGGAAUAUUGGACAAUGGGGGCAACCCUGAUCCAGCCAUGCCGCGUGUGUGAAGAAGGCUUUCGGGUUGUAAAGCACUUUCAGUAGGGAGGAAAACCUUAUGGYUAAUACCCAUGAGGCUUGACGUUACCUACAGAAGAAGCACCGGCUAACUCCGUGCCAGCAGCCGCGGUAAU
rnacentral:rRNA from 1 species